rnacentral:rRNA from 1 species
AAUAGCCUAACGGCUGAACCAGCAACUUGGAGGAAUGUAUAGCAAUAGCUACUUGCACCAAUAAAUAAUUGAUGCAAGAUCGACUAUGUUGAAUAAAAUUCUAGGUAGGAUUAUGAUGAUGACAUUGCCUGCCUAUGUGUCUUGACCAAAUUACGUGCCAGCAGUCGCGGUAAUACGUAGAAGACUAGUGUUAUUCAUCUUUAAUAGGUUUAAAGGGUACCUAGACGGUAAAUCAAGCCUUAAGGAGGGACUAAUUUGCUAGAGUUACUUGUGAGGGGGUAUUAAAGUACUGCUGGUGUAAAGAUGAAAUUUUGUGAUACCUUUUUUCCUAAAGAAAAAUGAUGGCACAGGUAUAGGCGAAAGCAUCCCCUUAUGUGAUAACUGACGU